rnacentral:rRNA from 1 species
AUUGAACGCUGGCGGCAGGCCUAACACAUGCAAGUCGAACGGUAGCACAGAGAGCUUGCUCUCGGGUGACGAGUGGCGGACGGGUGAGUAACGUCUGGGAAACUGCCCGAUGGAGGGGGAUAACUACUGGAAACGGUAGCUAAUACCGCAUAACGUCGCAAGACCAAAGUGGGGGACCUUCGGGCCUCACACCAUCGGAUGUGCCCAGAUGGGAUUAGCUGGUAGGUGGGGUAAUGGCUCACCUAGGCGACGAUCCCUAGCUGGUCUGAGAGGAUGACCAGCCACACUGGAACUGAGACGCGGUCCAGACUCCUACGGGAGGCAGCAGUGGGGAAUAUUGCACAAUGGGCGCAAGCCUGAUGCAGCCAUGCCGCGUGUAUGAAGAAGGCCUUCGGGUUGUAAAGUACUUUCAGCGGGGAGGAAGGCGGUGAAGUUAAUAGCUUCACCGAUUGACGUUACCCGCAGAAGAAGCACCGGCUAACUCCGUGCCAGCCGCCGCAGUAA